CCCACUUACUGAAGGAUGGAUUCUGUGUUUUGGAUUGUGGUCCAGGCUUUUAUGCUAAUCAAGGCAGCUGUUAUGCUUGUGACCCUUCCUGUGCAACCUGUCAACCUGACAACCCCACUUGCAUGAGCUGCCCCCCUGAACAUGCACUGCAUCAGGGGAAAUGUGUGCCACAAUGUCCACCACAGUAUUACAAGGAUGACCACGGCCAUUGCCAAGCCUGCCACAGUUCGUGUGCAUCCUGCUCAGGGCCAGCUGUGUCUCACUGCACCUCCUGCU